CAUUCGUGUGGCGGACGGGUGAGUAACGCGUGGGUAACCUGCCUUACACAGGGGGAUAACACCUGGAAACAGGUGCUAAUACCGCAUAAGCGCACAGGGCCGCAUGGCCCGGUGUAAAAAACUCCGGUGGUGUAAGAUGGACCCGCGUCUGAUUAGCUUGUUGGCGGGGUAGGGGCCCACCAGGGCGACGAUCAGUAGCCGGCCUGAGAGGGUGGACGGCCACAUUGGGACUGAGACACGGCCCAAACUCCUACGGGAGGCAGCAG
rnacentral:rRNA from 1 species